rnacentral:lncRNA from 1 species
GUUAAACAAGUGCUUGAAGGCAGUAUGCUUGGUAAAAGUCAUCGCCAUUCUCUAAUCUUGAGUACCCAGGGACACGAUACACUGCGGAAGGCUGCAGGGACCUCUGCCCAGGAAAGCCAGGCUUGCAUGAAGGAAAUGAUUUCCUAUGAUUCUGCUUACUGCUUAAAAAAAUUAAUCAAGUUUUCUGCCUGACAAGAUCCAGUAUCUGCCGGAGGAGCCCCACCUUCUGCUACUAUUAUGUUCUUCAGAUGAGUAGAAGAGAGUGGGGAGGGAGAGAGCAGGAAGAAGAAAGGAAGAAUAAUGUCUUGAAAUUGCAGAACAUUCAGCAGGAACUGUGGAAAUCCAAGUCAAGUAAUAUUCUCAACAGUUUUCUAAGGAUAAUGGUCUCCAGCUUCGUCAAUGUUCCUGCAAAGGACAUGAUGCUGACUUUGAAGAUGCAAGCUUCCACAUCUACAGCCUCAAGGAAACAAAUUCAGCCAACCAACUGAGGGAGCUUUCCUUGUCCUGCCUCAAGAUGAGAUCACAGUCUGCCCAACACCAUGAUUUAGGCCUUGUGACACCUGAGCUCAGAUGGAAAAGAAUGGUGUUACUGAGACCCUUCAAGAUUCCCAGUGUAAUUCAAUAAAGAAAAGGCAACACAAAGGGGUUGUAUAGAAUUCGCCACAUUAUGGACCCAUGUCAUAGAGAGAAUCCACGGUGCAUUUGUUAGCUGCAUUUAAAUGACAACACUUUCAGAUCCAAGAUUUAUUUGGGAUAAAAAUUUACCUGGAUGCAAGGCUAUUCAGAAUGAAGAUUAAUGAUAUGGUUUGGCUGUGUCCCCACCCAAACUUCAUCUUGAAUUCCCACGUGUUGUGAGAGGGACCUGGUGGGAGAUAAUUGAACCAUGGGGGCAGGUCUUUCUCAUGCUGUUCUCAUGAGAGUGAAUAAGUCUCAUGAAACCUGAUGGUUUUAUAAGGGGGAAUUUCCCUGCACAAGCUCUCUCUCUGCCUUUUGCCAUCCAUGUAAGACGUGACUUGGUCCUCCUUGCCUUCUACCAUGAUUAUGAGGCCUCCCCAGCCACGUGGAACUGUGAGUCCAUUAAACCUCUUUCUUUUGUAAA